UUUCUCCAUCCUCUUAUCUCUGAAACAUCAAAAAAGUUAUUAUAAUUUAUAAACUUUCUCUACUCUACUUUCAGCUUAUAUUUUAACACAAAAAUACAGGGGUAGGUCAAAAGAUCCAAGGGCAUACCAGUGAAGUCGGUAUCACCGAACAAAAGUCAAUUAGUUUUUAAUCAAAUUACCUUUCUGCUUGGCAUUUCAAACUUAAAAAAAAAGAAGAUUUUUGCCAAAUCACUGAGCUGAGCUAGGGCUUUGCAGUAGAUGCCAAAGCUUCAGUCGAAGUUAUCAUAAUGAUGAAAGCCCAGGCUUCAAUUGGUUGUAUCCACUCUGAUUGUUAG
rnacentral:lncRNA from 1 species